CAAGUGAUUGAAUCAAUAAUUUUGAUUUAUAGAUUCAAGAGUUGUUCGUGACUCCAAGUUUUAAAGCAAGUGACAGUAGAGUUCAGCAAAGCCAGACCUAAGUAUGCCGAGGAUGCGCCUUACCGCUCGCAAGAGGGUCCCACUUAACCAUCCACAGAUAUUUCGGUUCAAUCUUCCUGCUCAGGUAGGAAGAAUCCAGAGUAUACAUAGAACUUUUGGUAGUAUGUAAUAAAAAUUUGAACUAGUCAUAAAACUUAUUUAGACUUUUGGAGGGUUUGUGUGGUUUACUGUAAAAGCUACUCUAGGCAGGUGUGUAGUGUGUAAUCACAUUAUGGUUUUAUUAGUGCUUGUUUCAUAUCAUAAAUUGUGUACGAUCCAGUUGCAUGCAGGGGUCAUAUUAUUGUUUUAUAAUAUUAGCAUUUCAUUC